GGGGCUCAUUAUUCAGCCUUUUGAAAUUGAUUACUAUGUUUAAGAGGAAUUGGAAACUGUAUUUCACUGGACUUCCUCUUUUGGAAACAGGAAAGAAAAAAAAUAAACCCUGGAUUAUAGAUUAAAUUCAAAGCUGUAGAGAGCCAACUCUGGGAGAAUUCUAAAGGGAGUUAUCGUUGCUUCCUGUAACUACUGCAAAUGGAUAAGCACCAUGGAGGGGAAAGAAUUAUAUAAGAUCCUGUUUCCUGAGCCGCAUUAGAAUUCCGAAGACAUGACUUGGGACUAGUAUCUGUGAAAUAAAUUGGAGUACUCCUAUAAAGGCUGUUUUAAGACUGAAAUUUGC